rnacentral:rRNA from 1 species
GAUGAACGCUGGCGGCGUGCCUAAUACAUGCAAGUCGAGCGAAUGGAUUAAGAGCUUGCUCUUAUGAAGUUAGCGGCGGACGGGUGAGUAACACGUGGGUAACCUGCCCAUAAGACUGGGAUAACUCCGGGAAACCGGGGCUAAUACCGGAUAACAUUUUGAACCGCAUGGUUCGAAAUUGAAAGGCGGCUUCGGCUGUCACUUAUGGAUGGACCCGCGUCGCAUUAGCUAGUUGGUGAGGUAACGGCUCACCAAGGCAACGAUGCGUAGCCGACCUGAGAAGGUGUACGGCCACACUGGGACUGAGACACGGCCCAGACUCCGAUGGGAGGCAGCAGUAGGGAAUCUUCCGCAAUGGACGAAAGUCUGACGGAGCAACGCCGGGUGAGUGAUGAAGGCUUUCGGGUCGUAAAACUCUGUUGUUAGGGAAGAACAAGUGCUAGUUGAAUAAGCUGGCACCUUGACGGUACCUAACCAGAAAGCCACGGCUAACUACGUGCCAGCCGCCGCGGUAA